UACGUAGGGGUCGAGCGUUGUCCGGAGUUACUGGGCGUAAAGCGCGCGCAGGCGGCGCGAUAAGACCGGCGUGAAAGCCCCCGGCUCAACCGGGGAGGGGCGUUGGUGACUGUCGCGCUUGAAGGCAGCAGGGGUGAGUGGAACUCCCGGUGUAGUGGUGAAAUGCGUAGAGAUCGGGAAGAACACCCGUGGCGAAGGCGGCUCACUGGGCUGACCUUGACGCUGAGGCGCGAAGGCGUGGGGAGCGAACGGG
rnacentral:rRNA from 1 species